rnacentral:rRNA from 1 species
GAUGAACGCUGGCGGCGUGCCUAAUACAUGCAAGUCGAGCGAACAGAUGAGGAGCUUGCUCCUCUGACGUUAGCGGCGGACGGGUGAGUAACACGUGGAUAACCUACCUAUAAGACUGGGAUAACUUCGGGAAACCGGAGCUAAUACCGGAUAAUAUAUUGAACCGCAUGGUUCAAUAGUGAAAGACGGUUUUGCUGUCACUUAUAGAUGGAUCCGCGCCGCAUUAGCUAGUUGGUAAGGUAACGGCUUACCAAGGCAACGAUGCGUAGCCGACCUGAGAGGGGGAUCGGCCACACUGAAAUUGAGACACGGUCCAGACUCCUAGGGGAGGCAGCAGUAGGGAAUCUUCGGAAAUGGGCGAAAGCCUGACGGAGAAACGCCGCGGGAGUGAUGAAGGUCUUCGGAUCGUAAAACUUUGUUAUUAGGGAAGAACAAAUGUGUAAGUAACAAUGCACGUCUUGACGGUACCUAAUCAGAAAGCCACGGCAAACUACGG